rnacentral:misc_RNA from 1 species
AACGCACCUUGCGCUCCUUGGUAUUCCGAGGAGCAUGCCUGUUUGAGUGUCAUUAAUAUAUAUCAACCCAACUCUUGUUGAGUGGUUUGGAUGUGGAGGGUUUUGCUGGCUGCUUAAAAGGUGCCAGCUCCUCUGAAAUGCAUUAGUGGAACAACCUGUCCAUUCAUUGGUGUGAUAACUAUCUACGCUGUUGAAUGUGAGGCAGUUCAGCUAUCUAACAGUCCUUGGACAAACUUAUCAUUUAAUGUGACCUCAAAUCAGGUAGGACUACCCGCUGAACUUAA